rnacentral:rRNA from 1 species
UGCAGUCGAGCGGACAGAUGGGAGCUUGCUCCCUGAUGUCAGCGGCGGACGGGUGAGUAACACGUGGGUAACCUGCCUGUAAGACUGGGAUAACUCCGGGAAACCGGGGCUAAUACCGGAUGCUUGAUUGAACCGCAGGGUUCAAUUAUAAAAGGUGGCUUUUAGCUACCACUUACAGAUGGACCCGCGGCGCAUUAGCUAGUUGGUGAGGUAACGGCUCACCAAGGCAACGAUGCGUAGCCGACCUGAGAGGGUGAUCGGCCACACUGGGACUGAGACACGGCCCAGACUCCUACGGGAGGCAGCAGUAGGGAAUCUUCCGCAAUGGACGAAAGUCUGACGGAGCAACGCCGCGUGAGUGAUGAAGGUUUUCGGAUCGUAAAACUCUGUUGUUAGGGAAGAACAAGUACCGUUCGAAUAGGGCGGUACCUUGACGGUACCUAACCAGAAAGCCACGGCUAACUACGUGCCAGCAGCCGCGGUAAUACGUAGGUGGCAAGCGUUGUCCGGAAUUAUUGGGCGUAAAGCGCGCGCAGGCGGUUUCUUAAGUCUGAUGUGAAAGCCCCCGGCUCAACCGGGGAGGGUCAUUGGAAACUGGGGAACUUGAGUGCAGAAGAGGAGAGUGGAAUUCCACGUGUAGCGGUGAAAUGCGUAGAGAUGUGGAGGAACACCAGUGGCGAAGGCGACUCUCUGGUCUGUAACUGACGCUGAGGCGCGAAAGCGUGGGGAGCGAACAGGAUUAGAUACCCUGGUAGUCCACGCCGUAAACGAUGAGUGCUAAGUGUUAGAGGGUUUCCGCCCC